AGAUUGAACGCUGGCGGCAGGCCUAACACAUGCAAGUCGGACGGUAGCACAGAGAACUUGCUCUCGGGUGACGAGUGGCGGACGGGUGAGUAAUGUCUGGGGAUCUGCCCGAUAGAGGGGGAUAACCACUGGAAACGGUGGCUAAUACCGCAUAACGUCGCAAGACCAAAGAGGGGGACCUUCGGGCCUCUCACUAUCGGAUGAACCCAGAUGGGAUUAGCUAGUAGGCGGGGUAACGGCCCACCUAGGCGACGAUCCCUAGCCGGUCUGAGAGGAUGACCAGCCACACUGGAACUGAGACACGGUCCAGACUCCUACGGGAGGCAGCAGUGGGGAAUAUUGCACAAUGGGCGCAAGCCUGAUGCAGCCAUGCCGCGUGUAUGAAGAAGGCCCUCGGGUUGUAAAGUACUUUCAGCGGGGAGGAAGGCAACAAGGUUAAUAACCUUGUUGAUUGACGUUACCCGCAGAAGAAGCACCGGCUAACUCCGUGCCAGCAGCCGCGGUAAUACGGAGGGUGCAAGCGUUAAUCGGAAUUACUGGGCGUAAAGCGCACGCAGGCGGUCUGUUAAGUCAGAUGUGAAAUCCCCGGGCUUAACCUGGGAACUGCAUUUGAACUGGCAGGCUUGAGUCUCGUAGAGGGGGGUAGAAUUCCAGGUGUAGCGGUGAAAUGCGUAGAGAUCUGGAGGAAUACCGGUGGCGAAAGCGGCCCCCUGGACGAAGACUGACGCUCAGUGCGAAAGCGUGGGGAGCAAACAGGAUUAGAUACCCU
rnacentral:rRNA from 1 species